rnacentral:rRNA from 1 species
GACGAACGCUGGCGGCGUGCUUAACACAUGCAAGUCGAACGGAAAGGCCCCUUCGGGGGUACUCGAGUGGCGCACGGGUGAGUAACACGUGAGUAACCUGCCCUUGACUUCGGGAUAACUUCAGGAAACUGGGGCUAAUACCGGAUAGGAAUCCUUGCUGCAUGGUGGGGGUUGGAAAGCUUCGGCGGUUUUGGCUUGACUCGCGGCUUAUCAGCUUGUUGGUGGGGUAGUGGCUUACCAAGGCUUUGACGGGUAGCCGGCCUGAGAGGGCGACCGGCCACAUUGGGACUGAGAUACGGCCCAGACUCCUACGGGAGGCAGCAGUGGGGAAUAUUGCACAAUGGGCGGAAGCCUGAUGCAGCAACGCCGCGUGCGGGAUGACGGCCUUCGGGUUGUAAACCGCUUUCAGCAGGGGCGAAGCUUGUGGUGACGGUACCUGCAGAAGAAGCACCGGCUAACUACGUG